UACGUAGGGGGCUAGCGUUGUCCGGAUUUAUUGGGCGUAAAGAGCGUGUAGGCGGCCAGGUAGGUCUGCUGUGAAAACUCGAGGCUCAACCUCGAGACGUCGGCGGAAACCAUCUGGCUAGAGUCCGGAAGAGGAGAGUGGAAUUCCUGGUGUAGCGGUGAAAUGCGCAGAUAUCGGGAGGAACACCUGAGGCGAAGGCGGGCUACUGAGCUGAUACUGACGCUGAUGCGCGAAAGCCAGGGGAGCGAACGGG
rnacentral:rRNA from 1 species